rnacentral:misc_RNA from 1 species
GAUGAAGAACGCAGCGAAAUGCGAUAAGUAAUGCGAAUUGCAGAAUUUCCGUGAGUCAUCGAAUCUUUGAACGCACAUUGCGCCCACUGGUAUUCCGGUGGGCAUGCCUGUUCGAGCGUCAUUUGUACCCUCAAGCUUUGCUUGGUGUUGGGUGUUUUGUCUUUUCCACGCGAUGAGACUCGCCUUAAAAUAAUUGGCAGCCAGUGUUUUGGUUUUGAAGCGCAGCACAAGUCGCGAUUCAGCUUACAUCACUAGUUUCCAUGAAGCAUUUUAUCACUUUUGACCUCGGAUCAGGUAGGGAUACCCGCUGAACUUAAGCAUAUCAAUAAGCGGAGGA